CACCCAGCCCUGCCUGUGACCUGCCCUGGGCUGGAGCCCAUUGCUGGCUCUGCAGUGACAGUGACACACACGGUGUGCCAGCCAGGAGCUCCACAGCUGCAGCACCUGCACCAGCCCCAAGAAAGCACAAAGCAGGAAAGGGGAGCUCAGCAGAGCUCAGCAGAGCGUGUGGUUCCUCCCUGUGCUGGGGGAGCCGCAGGUGUGGCUGCUGCACACCCUCCUGCCGGGCCUGGCCAGCACGGGGCCUGCACACAGCGCGGCUGCCGGCCUUGCUCUGCUGCCCCUGCAAGCAGCCAGCUCUUCUUCUGUGGUCAUGGCUGGGCUCAAAUCUUCAUCUUUCUUAUGUUUGUAACUUUAAGAAACAUUGGGGAAGCCACUGAACUUAGAGAAGUGCCAGAUGAGGAUGUUUCAGUGCCACAUCUCUGCAUCUUACCCUGGAGCAAAAUGGAAGAGGCAAGAGCAGGCUGGCAAAGAGACACCUGGUGCUUGGGGCCAGCUCUGGCCAUGCCAGAAGGGUUUCCCCAAGAGGAGGACAGCCUCAACUUAUGGAGCAACAGUGAGGGAGUAAAAGCUGCAUAGUGCUGAGCCACUGUGAAUUGUAUAGCUGAGCUCUCUGCAUGGCAGCUGCUCUAGAAACUUUGACAAAAACCUACACGUGCAAUCAGUGGCCAAGUCACAGGGGCUCCAACAGACGUGAGCAUGGAGUCACACAAGUAAGGAUGAAGGAAUGUGAGAAGACCAAAGUGAUCCAGACUGUAGGCUGAGUAGAUUUCUGUCAAGAGCUACAUGUAAGAUAACUUCAAACCUGGAAAUCAAGAGUGUAGGGCUUUAUUUAUAUUUUUACAGAAGUUAACGAACCUUUCCAAAAUACCCCAGAUGUUUUAGUUUGAGUUCACUUUGAAUUUUGGACCAGACAUGCAGAUUUUUUGCUUCUUUCCCCAAAAAUAUUUCCACAAACUUAUCUACACUGUUCUCCUUAGGAGAACAAGGGUUGGAGAGUGUUACUGAGCCACUCUGCAUAUCAUGGAUAAAUCUUAAAUGCCACAGGCUGCAUCUCACUGUGGUGCUGCAUCUGCAUUUAAGACAUGACUGAACUAUCUGUACAUCUCAACCUUUGCUGUAACAAUUUUCUUUGAACAACUGAAUCAAGAAUCCAUGAGUCACUUAGGCAUUUUUAUCAGCCUGUAAGCAUCAGCAGCACAUCUCAGAGUUUGCCCUUUACACUUGACUGGGACAAGAGGGACAUGCACAGGUAUCCAGAGCUUUGCUGUGCCAGCACAACUAAAUUUUCAAAAGAGAAGUGACUUUGCACAGCCCAUGAAAACACUUAUUCCAUAGCAUCAGUAUCCCUUACCAUAAUCCUGGUGUUAAUCCAGGAGUAGACCUUGAGCACAAAGGACAAAAAAACCCAAGUGCUGAAGAAGUGGUGCAUCCAGAGAGAUCUGCUGUGCCAGUGAAGUACCCUCUGCACUCCAGGGAACCCAAGCAAGCUUCAGCCAUCAUCAUUGCUGCUGCUCACAAAAGCCAAGGAAGGAAUAUCCCCACACACAGCUGGAUUUUGUCAGUCACACAAACACUUCUGUGGAUCUCUAUAGUGCUUUAGCAUAAGAACAGAGAGAUCUCCUUGCCAGCACUUCAGAUUAUUUUUUCCAUGGUGAACUUCUACUGUGUUUUGCACAUUACAUCACUCUCUUAGACUCUUCAGCUGCUCUCAAAACCUGCUCAAGUUCCUGGUUCUGGCUUUCAUUUUCACUUGGUGAAGUGUAAUCUAGAAAGCCCUACUUAACUUCUCCCACUUGUGCAUCUGAAUGUGAAGAGAAUGCCCAGGCAGAAGCAGAGCUGGAGGAGGAGCAGGUUUCUAGAGUACAGUAAAGCUCCACAGCGUUACUUUGGUGCAAGCUAUUAUGUGAUUUCAAUACAGAUUCCCUGCUCUUAGGAAAGCCAGUGCUUGCUGAGACUGAGCUGACAACAGCUCCCUUCCCAAGCAAAUGGCUUCAGUAGCCCCUGGCAGAGCAGAUCCAUCUGCCACUCCCUGCUCAGCCCACAGCUCCAGUCAGCACAGUCCAGGAGCACGAUCAUAUUUAUUUUUUACAGCUGAGAACUUUGACAAACAGCAGCAGGCAGCAAAGGCCAGUCUAUUUAUAUUUCUUACAGUAUAUAUUCUAAAGAAUGGCAGUCACCAUUAUGGAAGCUAUCAAAAAGCUAGCUCUGACCUUAAAUAAGCGUGCUCCUAUGUCAGGCAGUCCCAGGAAGGAGAAUUUAUGCGGCAGAUGCUGCAUUCAGAGAAGGAAGUAGAGUUGGAUUGCUCUUGCCAGAGAUGCAGCCCAGGAUGCAGCUGCCAAAAUUUGGCUUAAUUCUUUGUGUUCCUUUAGGACAGGAAUUUAACCAAGAUUUUACCCUCCACCUCUGGGUUGGACUGGCUUCUGCUCUGUUCCACAGGACAUCUAAACCCAGCACGUGAACUCACAAGGCCCCCAGAGUGCAGGGGACAAACUGAGUCACACGUGUUUGCAUUAACACUGUAUGAGAAUCUUAGCAGAAUACAAUUAAUUCUGGGAAUUUAUAGACAAGAAAAACUGCUGGAGGAGCAAUUCUGCAGCAGGUUGGAUACCUUUUGCAUAUGCUUUCCUUGAUGAAAAUCCUGCAUAAUAACAGAAAAUCUUUCAUAUCUCCUUUGACAUUUCAGAAGAUGGGACCAUUAAGUAUUAAUUUUCCUUGACAAAGUACACCUUUCUUUUGCAAAAAUGAAAUCCCAGUCAGAGCACAAUGUUCUCUUGUUUACAUCUCUCCCUGCUUUAAUAGUGCUUUGCAAUAUAUGCUUAUUUAUUUUUAUGAAGUCAGCUAAAAAUUAUAUUGCUCAAAUUUAUUUUAUGUAUUAAUUUGGAAAAAAAAUCAAUAAAUUAUUUGGCCCUCCCUUCAGCUUUAUUACAUUUGUUAUCAUUUAUUAAAUGGACUUAUUUUAAGUUCAUUUGCAAGCAAAAUAGUGCUAACUGAAGACCCAUUCAUCAUUUUCUUCAAAAGAAAAUAUUAAUGAAUGCCACCUAAUUACAAGAGAAGGAAUUUAGAAAAAAAAAAAGGGGAAAAAAGGAAAAAGAAGAAUAUACACUUUUUACAAAGAGUUAAGUGGAAACAAGGAUACUUUUUCCGCCUGCUCCUCAUCCUGCCUGUGACCCCUUCAGGCUGCAGCCACGCUCCCACAAACCAUCAAUAUCCUCCCUGAUAUUUGACUUGUCCUGAGGGAAGCAGCGUUUUCCAUGUCACAGAAUCACAGAUCACAGAAUGGGUUGGGUUGAAAGGGACCUUAAAGAUCACCUUGUUCCAAGCCCCUGCCUUGGGCAGGGACUCCUUGUACGAGACCAGGCUGCUCAGAGCCCCAUCAAACCUGGCCUUGCACACUCCCAGGAAUGUACAGCUGGUUUCAGAUUUUUGGUCUAGAAAGGAUUGCUUGGGAGGAGAGGGAAUCAAGGAAAAAGGAGUAUUUUCCUUCAUUUUGCACAGAGCCAGUAGAAACAAGAAAAAUUAGAAAAUGGCAAAGACAGAAGAAGCAUCAGUUGCAGGAGGAAGGAGUGUAAGGGGAAAGAGGAAAUGUUUUCAAAGCAUUUUCCUCCUAGUUUGAUUAACUUAAAAGCAAUUUAAAGUAAAAGUUGCCUCUAUGCAGAGCAGUGGCCCAGCAGCACCUCCUUCACAUCACUUCCCAUUCAGCAUGGGGGGAAUCUCUCCCUCCCUGCUCCUUGCCAGCCACCACUUCACUUUUUUUUGUCUGCCCUCACCACUUCUGCUGUCUCUCCUCCUGUCUUUGUCUCUUUGUGAAGCGUCCUGGAACCCGGCCCAGCUUGUUCAAGCUCCCAACACAUCUUGAAUUUUAAUUCACUCUCAUUUGAAGUCAUCUAUCUCUGUUUUAAACCUAGACACAAAGAGAAUGAGCCAAUUUAUUAUUACUUAAACCCAAAACAAAUCUGCAGAGAAAGCCUGGUUUACUCUCAGCACAUCACAGCGUGUCCAGCUGGGUGCUAAUACUGACUUGAAGCUAACUGACCUGGGGGCACAAAAUGCUGCACAGGGACAGCCUGCUUUGGAAAGGUGCCCUGCACCCAGGGCAGUGUGAAAGCACAUCAGUUAAGAGGAAAGAUGACAACAGACGGUGUAAAAGCAGCACAACCUGUUCUCAGAGCACAUUACAGCCUUAUCUGGACUCCAAGGCUGCCUGGCAGGUGAACUUUCCUGCCAGCCAAUGUUGCAUUUCAUUCUAAUUGGCAUUUAAGACAUUGCAAUGAAACCCCUUUACUCUAUACUUCAUAAAGAACAAGGAAAACAGAACUAAUUUUUGUCAGUGAAAGGAAAAUUUACAACAAUAAUAAAUGAGGCAGGGGAAAAUGGGAUUCUCUGUUAAACAUAGUGAUAGUUCACAAAUACUUUCCAUUAAAUAAAAAGACAUUAGAGUACGGAAAAACAAGUAAAGAAUUCCAAAUAAACACAAGAGGGAAAAGUAAAAGAUGCAACAAAUAUUUGCCAGUGGUCACCCUGGAACUGCACAUUAGCACAAAUCACAGAACCAUAGAAUCACUGAGGUUGGAAAAGACCUCCAAGAUCCUUGAGUCCAGCCUUUGAUGAAACACCACCACAUCAACCAAACUGUAGCACUGAAUGCCACGUGGAGCCAUUCCUUGAGCACUUCCAGGGAUGGUGACCCCAUUGCCUCCCUGGGCAGCCCAUUCCAGUGCCUGGCCACCCUUUCCAGUGGAGGAUCUCUCUCCUUUCUGCCUCCUGCCUGUUCUGUGUGCUGCCCAGCACCUGUUUGUAAAUUAUAUAUAGUGGGCACUGAUUUAAACAGAGGUAAUAUAUAAAAGCAGUUUAAAUCAACAAUAUCAAUAUUAUUUUAGUGUGUUAGGUUUUAAUUCUUGUCAUAAUUCAUUGAUGAAUCAUCUUAAUGGAUGAGAAAGCAAUUCCUUUCCCAUUUUUCUGCAAUCCAGCAAUCUUUACCCAUUGCAACACUCUGUCAUCAAUACAGAAACUGCAACUGCUUCAACUGCUUUCAUAUUCCCUUCCACGGGAAUGCAUUUGUAGGGAUACUAACAAAAUAGUGGAUUAUUUGUUGCAUUUCUUUGAUCUAUAAAUAGGACUUCUCGGUAGAGGAUAUUUUUACUGCAUUUGGAGCAAUCUCGACACACUCAUUCUAAAGUGUAACCAAGUAAUUUUCAUCUCAUUUUGAAGCUCUGUGCCUGCAAGAAGUAACUAUAUACCAGAGUUAGAAAAGUCAAAUGAGAAACCUGGAGGUCCAAGUGAGGCAGAAUUUGGGAACAGGACUCAAAGCUGCUUUGCUCGUCUCCUUUUUAUUUACAGCUCAGACUAAAAUCUCUUUCCCUUGUGUCUUUUCUGGUGGCCUGCGAGAAAUGAGUUCAAAGUGGCAAAAUAUCUACUCAAAGCUGUUUAGUUCAAAGCCAUCAUGAGGUGGGGGCAGUGGUUGGAGAGCCUUGCCCUGGGGCAGGAUCAUCCCUGGCGAGUGCAGAGGUAAAAUGUUUCUGUAUUCUGCUCCUGCUGCUCCUGCUGCCUUCUUCAGGCUGGAGCCCUUCAGCUUCAGAUGAUCUCAUUCACACUUCUUCUAUAUAAAGAAACCUUGUGUCACCAGCACAUAUUAUGGUUUUUUUCUAGAUUUGCAAGUCUUAUUCAUAACUUGUCACUUCUAUCCCUGGAAAACUCAUUUGUUUGGACAAUUUUGUAUUGAAAACUGCCUAAAGGUUGUAAUUCUCAAAAUAAUUCCAAAAUGGCAGGUGUGCACAGUGGAACACAUCACCCUGGCACUUUGCCAUCAACCCAAAGCACAACCAUGACCAAGGCACACACAUGCCAGCUUUUAAAAUAAGGCUACACCAUAAGACACCAUUUAGUUUAGCUAAAAAAAAAGGGAAAAAAAAAAAAAAGGGGAAAAAAAAAAACCAUCAAAAA